rnacentral:rRNA from 1 species
CAGCCGCCGCGGUAAUACAGAGGGUGCAAGCGUUAAUCGGAAUUACUGGGCGUAAAGCGCGCGUAGGUGGUUCGCCAAGUUGGAUGUGAAAUCCCCGGGCUCAACCUGGGAACUGCAUCCAAAACUGGCGAGCUAGAGUAUGGUAGAGGGUGGUGGAAUUUCCUGUGUAGCGGUGAAAUGCGUAGAUAUAGGAAGGAACAUCAGUGGCGAAGGCGACCACCUGGACUGAUACUGACACUGAGGUGCGAAAGCGUGGGGAGCAAACAGGAUUAGAUACCCGUGUAGUCCUGUCUCUUAUACA